CCCCAGGGGCCCUCAGGCUUGGGCACAGCAUCCCUAGGAUGCUGGGAGAAAGACAUGCCCAUCUUUGCUGUAGGGCCCUGAUGAUGAGCCCAGGGGUGGGCUGGCAUUGUGGCCAAGGAUACCAGGGCUCAGCUGGAAGGAACUGACCAGGAACCUGAGGUUUGGGCCCAGAGGCCAGGACUCCUCUUGGUCCCAGCCCACCCUCACUUAGGGCUUUACCAAUGUUCUCUGGAUAGUGGUCAGGUAACGGUGGGCGCCACUGAUACUCCGGCCAGCCUAGGACUUCGCCAUUCCGCUGAUUCUGCUCCUGCAGCCACUGACUGACUGGUUGGAAGUACUCCAGCAGGGCCUGGGCAUCCAGGGCAUCUGAGCCCACCAUAUCCUUCAGCACCUCCUGCCAGGGCCUGGAGCCGCCAGCCUGCAGCACCUGCCUGCCAAGGAGAGUGAGCACUAUAGGUGUGGGGGACACAGGCUGGGGUCCACAACAGUGCUGCUGACCGGCUGUCCUCCAGCAGUAAAAGAACUCCAGGCCUAGGGUCUCUGUGAGAGUGGUAGGGGACAUUCGCCUGGCCCCAUGGCAGUUGAAGGCCAGCUCAAUAAAUAUUUGAUAUAAAGAGGAGAAGGGGGGAAGAGGGAGGGAGAGAGCUGGGGGAGGAGAGGAAAGAGUUACUCCAGAGCAGUAUAGCUUUGUGCUGUUCCAACCAGAACAGUCAGCUACCUGCAGAAAUACUGUUCGCCAGCCUCCCCUCAGCCUCGAGCUGUUUUUCCCUUUCUGCCACAUACCGGAGCUUGGCCCCAGCCUGGGUAGACUGGUAGAUGUCACACUGGUGUAGUGGGCCCUGGUGGCCUGCCUCCUUGCACAGUGCUUGAUGGAACUGGAACUGUAGAAUGAAGCUCACAAAAUACCUGUAGGGACAGAGCAGGUGCUAGGAGGACUGUGGAGAGCGAGACAAAAGCCCCUUGUUCAGGCUCUAUCCUGUGUUCGGCAGGGUGACAGCUGGACUAAGGGCUAGCAGUAGGAAGAAGGAAAAACAAUUGAGCGCAGCCCAGGAGAAAGGGUCAUUCUAAUUCUCAGCCCUUGGGCCUGAAGGAUGAUGGAGCGGGAGGAACACACAGCCCUGGUACCUGAUAUACGGUGCCACAUUUGGGAUAUGAAACUUGGCUCCAGCAUCAAAAUGGGUUUCAUUCCGGACAACUGGAGGGCAGAUCCCCUGAUACUUGGUUCUAGAAGGGGAUGUGUAAAAUCUUAAGGCUCUAGGGAUGCACAGGCUGCUUGAGAUUUGCAGAAAAGGUACGGGUUCCACCCGUAGCCCACCCCUCCCACAGCAUCCCUUCUACAUCCUGGAAGAUGGGGGAAACUUCCUGGAGGGUACCCAGCUGAUUGCUUCUCAAAGCUUCAGGGAUGGUGAGCUAAUGGGAUGACGUGCCCUACCUCCCUGGAGUAGAACAGUCCUCCAGCACAGAGGCAGGUCUGAGUCACAGCGGCCUCCUCCUUGGACCCCCCCCCCCCCACACACACACACUCCUCUUCCCAGGUCUAGACCUGAAGUCCUUCCUGUUGUAGAAGUCCCAGGCUGAGGCAUGGCACACCACCUCCCGCCCAUCACUUGGCUUCUCCAGCAUCGACUCUGCCCAGAACUCAGGAGGCAUUGGUGAGAGCCCCAGCGAGGUGAAGAAUUCCUCUGCUACCCGGAACAUGUGUGUAGCAUUCCAGCCCUGGGCAGGAGGCUUUGUUGCUGAGGGCGGUGAAGUCUUCAUAGAGGGGUUUCAGUGGGAUGCCCACAACAUCAUGCCAGCUCUCCCAGGCAAACAGCAGCUUGGCAUAACUUCGUGAGGAAGCCAGAAUGUUGGUGAGCUCUGAGACAGGGGGAGCCAUAGAGUGGGCCACAAGCGCGGGCACUCCUGCCCCUACCCUUUGGCUACACAGCUGACAGUCGGCAGCAUUUCAGCUCACAAGAACCAUCAUGCAUUGUCCCAACAGAGCCCUAGACUUCACAGCUGCACGAUGUGAGAGCUACAAAAUGCCUUACAGAUUAUAACAACCCCCCUGCUUUUUAAAAACGGAGAAACUACCAGAGACAGAUUGGCUUCAAGUCACCUCAGGUCUCCACACUCCCAGUCGUUUGUCUCCUCUACCUGUCCCUCAAAGUGACAAGCAUGGGGGAAGGAGGAUCACAUCCUCUCGAGGCACUAGGAGGCUGUGAAGGCUAACCCCUCAGCACCAGGGCUGUGCCCCCAAAGAGGUGGGAAGACCUUUGUCCCUGGUAGAUGGGGUGAUGGCAUUCAUACAGGAGAUGAUGUGACCUGGAGACUCGGUGAGAUUGUGCCAGCCUGUCAGGUGACAUGCUAGAGGAGAGGCCCCAGAGGACUGAUAGUGAUGGAGACAGAAAGUGGCGAGCAAGGGGCCACCUGGUGAGAACUAGAAACGGAACUGAAAGCAAGAAGGAGAGAGGAAGACAGGGUGGGGCUGGGACCCAACUUGUCUCGGAAGAGUUCCUGAGUACCCGGGCCAGGAGAGUGGAAGAACAGGCAGUCCGCUCUGCUGGCUCAUUCUCAGGCCCAGCUGGGUGGCAGCGUGACAUCGUCUAUAGUCUUGAGUUAGGGACUGAGUUCAGGAGUGAGUAGCUCUGCCUUACAGAAAAAUGACAAAAGCAAAGGUUAAUUACUGUUAUCAGGGAUAGGUUGGAGUCAUCACCCCCUUCUCCCCCUGGGUGACAUUUUAUUAAGAGCUGGUUGAAACACAGCUUCCACCACUACACCAUACUUUCCAGGAGGGUUGAGACGAGGUCAGUCUGCCUUAUUCCCUGUGGCUUUCCCAGAACUUAGCACAUACCUGUUACAAAAGAGGGAGGCAUGGAGAUGUGGGGAAGGAGUGACCAGCGUUCAUGUUCACACCUCCGGAUGGAAGCUCCACUACCCACAAGAGUAAUCUAUGAAGAGCCAAACCUCACCAAUUUGGAACUUACAGUAAUACAGACAUUGCAACCUUGAUAUCCUGAAAAGUAAAAGUUAAAAAUAGCUUUCUCUAUUUUUAGGGUCUUACUCAUGAGGGAGAGGAGAAAUAAAAAUGUACCUUACAUUUGUCUGGCA